UCUGGACCCAGCCAGCUUCAUGUGUGUGGCUUCUGUGGGAAAGAGUUCCCCCGGAGCUCAGAUUUAGUCAAACACAGGCGUACACAUACUGGGGAGAAGCCAUACAAAUGUGCCGAGUGUGGCAAGGGCUUCGGUGACAGCUCUGCUCGGAUAAAGCACCAGCGUGGGCAUCUGGCCUUAAGGCCCUUUGGGGUAGGGGAUGGUCUGCCAAUGCCCCUUCAGGAGGAGUCACCAGCAGGAAUGGAGUGACGGGGAGGGUAGGGAGGAUAGAAGCCCAGGGUUACGGUGCGGGGGUGAGGAGGACGUGAGUAGCUAGAAACAGAUUAGAGACUACAUAACUUUCAUGCUCAGGAAACUGUGUUAGGUGUUGGGACCUUGCCAGUAUGAGCUGUGUCACAGCUUCUAGCACAGAUUAGGCCCUUGAUUGUUGUAAAAUUGAUAAGCUGGCCUCAAUUCUAAAAUCCUACUGCCUCCUGUUAAGAACACACCCCUCAGCUGGACAGAUUUGUGUCCAAACUUUAGUUCUAGAAUUCAAGAGGCAAAGGCAGGCAGCUCUCUUGAAUUCAUGGCCAGGCUGAUCUAGAGAGUUCCAGGUAGGCCAGAACUUCAUGGUGAAACAGAAAACAAAAACCUUGAUCCUCCAACCUCAGUCUGGGAGAACAGAUUGUUGGAAUUUUAGGUGUCAAGACAAGGCAGAGGCAUCUUGACGCCCCUGAGGGUGAGGUAUUGCUGUGGAGAAAGCAGUUUUCACCUCUGCUGUGGGUCACAGGACAUGGUUUUAUCCAAGAAGGGCACUUUGGGAAAGAGCUUAUACCUGUAUGCUUUUGCGGGUCCUUCCCACUCAGACACUGGGACACUGAUGAAACAAGAGCCAGCAGGAGCACUCAGAUUCCCGUCUGGAUGCAAAGCCUAGGUCAUCUUGGACAUCUGCAAAGACAGCCUGCUGAGCAAGAGCAGGGCCAGUGCAGGCCAGAGAAGCUUCAAAUCUCCACGGCUAAGUGUUUGUCUGUCUCCUUAUUAAUAAAUAGCCCCGUGUCUGAGGUUUGCUGUGCGUGAAUGUAUAUAUGUGGUGUACGUGGGUGAGUACAAAGUCCAGGAGGCUGAAAUAGGUAUAGAGGCUGCCAUAGGCAAAGCCCUCAGCCAUGAUAUUUAAAUGGGUCCCAUGCCUUAAGUCUGUUAAAUAAAAGAGAUUGUCUUAGAC
rnacentral:lncRNA from 1 species